GGCUCUCUGAAAUUAAUGUAUGAGGAGUCGAGCCUCCCCAGUGAUAAAAUUUAAACGGCCGCGGUACUCUGACCCUGCGAAGGUAGCAUAGUCAUUUGCCCUAUAAUUGAGGGCUCGUAUGAAUGGUUUGACAAGAGCAUAACUGUCUCCUUAAAAUUUUAUAAAAUUUGGUUUUUAGGUGAAGAAACCUAAAUGAAAUUGAAAGACAAGAAGACCCUAUCGAGCUUUAGAUUAAUUAAUUAGAAAAUAUAAAUUAAAAUAAUUAAUUUUAAUUAAAAACUUUGGUUGGGGCGACUGAGGAACAUCUAAAGGAGCCUUAAUCAAAAUUAACUAAUAAGUAAUGAUCCAAAAAAUUUUGAUUAAUAAAAUUAGUUACCGUAGGCAUAACAGCAUAAUCUUUUUUGAGAGUUCUUAUCGAAAAACCCUUUAUUGCACCUCGAUGUUGGACUAGGAUAUCCUAAAAGAUGCAGAAGUCUUAAAGGCUGGUCUUCGACCCAUUAAAAUCCU
rnacentral:rRNA from 1 species